rnacentral:rRNA from 1 species
GACGAACGCUGGCGGCGUGCUUAACACAUGCAAGUCGAACGGAAAGGCCUCUUUCGGGGGGUACUCGAGUGGCGAACGGGUGAGUAACACGUGAGUAACCUGCCCUUGACUUUGGGAUAACUUCAGGAAACUGGGGCUAAUACCGGAUAGGAGCUCCUGCUGCAUGGUGGGGGUUGGAAAGUUUCGGCGGUUGGGGAUGGACUCGCGGCUUAUCAGCUUGUUGGUGGGGUAGUGGCUUACCAAGGCUUUGACGGGUAGCCGGCCUGAGAGGGUGACAGGCCACAUUGGGACUGAGAUAAGGCCCAGACUCCUACGGGAGGCAGCAGUGGGGAAUAUUGCACAAUGGGUGGAAGCCUGAUGCAGCAACGCCGUGUGCGGGAUGACGGCCUUCGGGUUGUAAACCGCUUUCGCUCAUGACGAAGCUUUGUGUGACGGUAGUGGGUAAAGAAGCACCGGCUAACUACGUG